GACGAACGCUGGCGGCGUGCUUAACACAUGCAAGUCGAACGGAAAGGCCCUGCUUUUGUGGGGUGCUCGAGUGGCGAACGGGUGAGUAACACGUGAGUAACCUGCCCUUGACUUUGGGAUAACUUCAGGAAACUGGGGCCAAUACCGGAUAGGAGCUCCUGCUGCAUGGUGGGGGUUGGAAAGUUUCGGCGGUUGGGGAUGGACUCGCGGCUUAUCAGCUUGUUGGUGGGGUAGUGGCUUACCAAGGCUUUGACGGGUAGCCGGCCUGAGAGGGUGACCGGCCACAUUGGGACUGAGAUACGGCCCAGACUCCUACGGGAGGCAGCAGUGGGGAAUAUUGCACAAUGGGCGGAAGCCUGAUGCAGCAACGCCGCGUGCGGGAUGACGGCCUUCGGGUUGUAAACCGCUUUCGCCGGUGACGAAGCGUGAGUGACGGUAAUGGGUAAAGAAGCACCGGCUAACUACGUG
rnacentral:rRNA from 1 species